AAGGAGGGAAAGGAAAAGGAGGAAAAAGAACAAGAAAAGAUAGAGAUCCAAAAAUGUCAUUCAAAAACUUUUAAAUUUAUUGUUUUUUUUUUUCUCCUUUUUUUUUCUCU
rnacentral:ribozyme from 1 species